AAUCGCUUCAAAUAAUUUAUUUCAAAGAUAUGAAUUUUCAUUAUUUUAUGGAUAACCGAUACUGGAUACCGGCCAAAUAACAUGUUUACAACUAGUGGAAUAAUUAAUACAUAGACCUGCCUCAAAUCACAAACAGACCUGACCUGCCUCACAUCACAAACAGACCUGAUACCUCAUUGGCAUGCGUUUGCUAACAACCACCGCCACCGCCGCCUCCACCUCCACCGCCACCACCGCCACCACCGCCACCACCGCCACCACCGCCACCUCCACCGCAACCACCGCCCCCUCCACCGCAACCCCCUCCAACAGUGCCAUGAUCUACACCGCCACCCGUGUAAAUGACCGGGUUACUCCGACGUCUUCUACCCUGGCCAGUGGAUCCAUGACCACCACAGGCAAAGAUGACCAUGGUUAUGACUGCGAUGGAUGCCGCAAUCAUGCAAAACAAUAACAGACCUGCUGGAAAUUGGCAAACACCAUCACCGCUGCUGGUGCCACCGGACAGAGCUUCUACCAUCCUCGUCAUCUCGAUCUUCCUCUACCUCUACUCUGAACAGCAAUUCUUAUAGGCCUCUGUGACCUCCAAGUCUUCCCGUGCCGUCUUAUACAAUACUUCCAGGAAGCAACACGUUGAAACUUCUGAUAGUUAAUAUCUGACCAUUUCUGCCUCUCCAUGUUAAGUUACCAGGGACCGCAUGUACAUCCAUGCUUUUCAAAAACUGAAACUAGUUUUUUAAUAGUUGCUUCAUAAAAAUGUCAAAUAAU
rnacentral:lncRNA from 1 species